rnacentral:rRNA from 1 species
CCACUGUCGUUGAAAAGCCAGGGGAUGACUUGUGGAUAGGGGUGAAAGGCUAAUCAAGCCUGGUGAUAGCUGGUUCUCCCCGAAAGCUAUUUAGGUAGCGCCUCGGACGAAUACCAUAGGGGGUAGAGCACUGUUUCGGCUAGGGGGUCAUCCCGACUUACCAAACCGAUGCAAACUCCGAAUACCUAUGAGUACUAUCCGGGAGACAGACUGCGGGUGCUAACGUCCGUAGUCAAGAGGAAAACAAUCCAGACCGCCAGCUAAGGCCCC